rnacentral:rRNA from 1 species
GACGAACGCUGGCGGCGUGCUUAACACAUGCAAGUCGAACGGAAAGGCCCUGCUUUUGUGGGGUGCUCGAGUGGCGAACGGGUGAGUAACACGUGAGUAACCUGCCCUUGACUUUGGGAUAACUUCAGGAAACUGGGGCUGAUACCGGAUAGGAGCUCCUGCUGCAUGGUGGGGGUUGGAAAGUUUCGGCGGUUGGGGAUGGACUCGCGGCUUAUCAGCUUGUUGGUGGGGUAGUGGCUUACCAAGGCUUUGACGGGUAGCCGGCCUGAGAGGGUGACCGGCCACAUUGGGACUGAGAUACGGCCCAGACUCCUACGGGAGGCAGCAGUGGGGAAUAUUGCACAAUGGGCAGAAGCCUGAUGCAGCAACGCCGCGUGCGGGAUGACGGCCUUCGGGUUGUAAACCGCUUUCGCCUGUGACGAAGCGUGAGUGACGGUAAUGGGUAAAGAAGCACCGGCUAACUACGUG